CAUUUGCAGAUUCCAUGAUGCAAAUUCCAUGUCACUAGAGUUUAGUGUUCUUAAGGAUCUCAUUGAGAUUUUAGAGAGCAAAAGUAGCCUCAUUGAAGAGGCAGGGAGCUUGCAAUGUCUCCAAUCAAAUUGAUAAUUUUCGUUGAUAAUGGGUUUCAAUUCAGUGUAUAGGAGCUUGCAAGAUAUAUUCCUCCAAAUAUUUCUCUUUACCUUUAAAAUUUGAAAGUUUAAUUGAAUUAUGGUAAUCUAUUGUUGGAUUUUAAGUAUAAUAAUUGCUACCCUGUGAUCUAGUGUUAUUUAUAC